rnacentral:rRNA from 1 species
UACGUAGGUGGCAAGCGUUGUCCGGAAUUAUUGGGCGUAAAGCGCGCGCAGGCGGUCCUUUAAGUCUGAUGUGAAAGCCCACGGCUCAACCGUGGAGGGUCAUUGGAAACUGGAGGACCUGAGUACAGAAGAGGAAAGCGGAAUUCCACGUGUAGCGGUGAAAUGCGUAGAGAUGUGGAGGAACACCAGUGGCGAAGGCGGCUUUCUGGUCUGUAACUGACGCUGAGGCGCGAAAGCGUGGGGAGCGAACAGG